AAAAAUAACAUGCCCAUGCAUAUGUGGAGAGAAAUACUUAUACACUGUUGGUAAGAAUGUAAAUUACUGGCGUGAGCCCCGGUGCCCAGCCAUGUCAAGUAACUUUUUCAAACACAGUGAUAUAAAACUAGAAAUCAGUAAUGAGGCAAAUUGGAAAAUUUGCAAAUAUAUGAAACUUAAACAAGACACUACUGAUGGGUUACAAAAGAAAUUUUACAGUAGAAAAAAUAAUAUUGAGACAAAGUAAAAUGAAAAAAAAAUUUAUGGGAUACAACAAACAUAGUUCUAAGAGGGGAGUUUAUAGAGACAAAUGAAUGCCUAUAUUAAGAAAAGAGGAAGAUCUCGAACAACCUAUCUUGACACCACGGGGAACUAGAAAAAGAAGAAGCUAAGCCUAAAGUUACAGAAAAAAGGAAAUAAUAAAGAUCAGAGCAGAAAUAAAGGAAAUGGAGAUGAUAAAAAUAACAGAAAAAAAUCUAAGAAACAAUUGGUUUUUUGAAAAGAUAAACAAAAAUUGACAAACCUUUAGCUAAACUAUGAAAAAAAUGAGAGAAGACUCAGAAUUAUAAAUGAAAGAAAGCAUUAUAACGGACAUAGAAAUAUAAAGGAUCCUAAGAGACUAUUAUAAACAAUUAUACAACAAUAUAUUGGGUAACCUAGAAGAAAUAGAUAAAUUUCUAGAAAUACACAAUCUACCAAGAUUAAAUCAUGAAGAAAGAGAACAUUUGAACAGAACAAUAAUGAAGGUUAAAUUUAUAAUCAAAAAGCUACCAACAGAAAAAUCCGGGACAAAAUGGCUUCAGUGAUUCUACCAAACACUUAAAGAAGAAUUAAUGCUAAUUGCUCUUACUCUGUCAGAAAAUUAAAGAGAAGACAAGACUUCCAAACUCAUUUUAUGAGGCCAGCAUUACUUUGAUAAAAAAGCCAGGGAAGGAAAAAAAGUAUAAGCCAAUAUACCUGAUACUGUCUCAACAAAUUAGGUAUGGAAGGUGUCUUGGUUUGUUUUCUCUUGCUUAUAACAGAAACUGAAACUGGGUAAUUUAUGAAGAAAAGAAAUUUAUUUCUCACAGUUAUGGAGGCUGAGAAGUCCAAGGUCAGGGUGGUCUAUCUGGUGAGUGCCUUCUUGCUGAUAGGAACUCUGUAGAGUCAUUAACCAACAUAGAACAUCGCAUGGUGAGGAGCUGAAGAUGCUAGCUCAGAUCUCUCUUCCUUUUUUUAUGAAGCCACCAGUCUUACUCCCAUGAAAAUCCGUUAACCCAUUAAUUGAUAAAUGAAUUAGUCUAUUCAUGAGGGCUCUGCCCCACCACUCAGUACUGCCACAGUGAGGUUAAAUUUCACCAUGAGGGCCUGGGCGGG
rnacentral:lncRNA from 10 species